rnacentral:lncRNA from 1 species
CCCUAAACUGGCAAAAGUCCAGUUUUGCUUAUUUGAGUCUGUCGAAUCCAUUUUUGCAUCCAUUUCGCGCAGAAACAACUCCGACUCAGUCCGACACUCUCCAGAUGUGUCGACCAGUCACUAACACUGAAACCAAUCCUACCCAAAUCUCUAGAACACUACAUAAUUAAUAAUUAAAACAUAAUUACGUUAUGCUCAGAAGAGGUAAUCUCACAUUUCUAUCUAAAAAUUGACAGAAUUUACAAAUACAAAUCUCAACUGCGGACUAACAAACAGAAAAAAUAUAAUUGCAGCAGUUGCAUAAAACCAAACAGACUAGAUGUAGUUAUGACUACAAUAUUUACAACUGUAUGUACUUUCAACUUUACUAUUUUUGUAACUACAUCCUACCAAACGGCUCCUUAAUUGUUAUGAGUUUCUUAAUUGUGACUUACGAUAUCUAACUCGGGGAUAUUUUUGCAAAGAGUUUAUACCGUAGAUAAAUGUAAAAUAUGUUUUUAAGAGAUUGACUAGGAUACUAUCGAUAGUACCAAGCACUUGGUGCUACCGAAUUUUUUACCGUUAAAUUUAACUCUCUGACUAUUUUCACCCGUUAGAUUAUGCUAUUUAACUAACAACUUACUCAACCCUAGAGGGCCCACAUCAUACUAACCAUACAAUCCUUCAUCCAAAGGCCGAAAAUCUAAUAAUACCAAUAACUUGUACUAUUGGUAGUAUUCUAGCCUAGCUCUUGUUUUUAAAUACUUUACUGAGAUAUAUCAACAUACAACCUCAACUUCAAGUCAUUUUGAAAUUUAACAUUUCAACUAUUUUAUUUUUUAUUU